GAUGAACGCUGGCGGCGUGCCUAAUACAUGCAAGUCGAGCGGACCAAAGAGAGCUUGCUCUCUGAGGUCUGCGGCGGACGGGUGAGUAACACGUGGGUAACCUGCCUGUAAGACGGGGAUAACUUCGGGAAACCGAAGCUGAUACCGGAUGAUAAAGAGAAACGCCUGUUUCUUUUUUGAAAGUCGGCCUUGUGCUGACGCUUACAGAUGGGCCCGCGGCGCAUUGGCUAGUUGGUGAGGGAACGGCUCACCAAGGCGACGAUGCGUAGCCGACCUGAGAGGGUGAUCGGCCACACUGGGACUGAGACACGGCCCAGACUCCUACGGGAGGCAGCAGUAGGGAAUCUUCGGCAAUGGACGAAAGUCUGACCGAGCAACGCCGCGUGAGCGAUGAAGGCCUUCGGGUCGUAAAGCUCUGUUGUCAGAGAAGAACAAGUACCGGAGUAACUGCCGGUACCUUGACGGUACCUGACCAGAAAGCCACGGCUAACUACGUGCCAGCAGCCGCCGCCG
rnacentral:rRNA from 1 species